rnacentral:rRNA from 1 species
UACGUAGGGGGCUAGCGUUGUCCGGAAUCAUUGGGCGUAAAGAGCGUGUAGGCGGCUCGGUAAGUCCGCUGUGAAAGUCCAGGGCUCAACCCUGGAAUGCCAGUGGAAACUGUCGAGCUAGAGUCCGGAAGAGGCGAGUGGAAUUCCUGGUGUAGCGGUGAAAUGCGCAGAUAUCGGAAGAACACCAGUGGCGAAGGCGGCUCACUGGACCGGUAUUGACGCUGAGGUGCGAAAGCGUGGGGAGCAAACAGG